CGUAUUAGCUAGUUGGUGAGAUAAUAGCUCACCAAGGCGAUGAUACGUAGCAGACCUGAGAGGGUAAUCUGCCACAAUGGGACUGAGACACGGCCCAUACUCCUACGGGAGGCAGCAGUAGGGAAUCUUCCACAAUGGACGAAAGUCUGAUGGAGCAACGCCGCGUUAGUGAAGAAGGGUUUCGGCUCGUAAAACUCUGUUGUUAGAGAAGAACGACUGUGAGAGUAACUGCUCACAGUGUGACGGUAUCUAACCAGAAAGUCACGGCUAACUACGUGCCAGCAGCCGCGGUAAUACGUAGGUGGCAAACGUUGUCCGGAUUUAUUGGGCGUAAAGGGAGUGCAGGCGGUUUAUUAAGUCUGAUGUGAAAGCCUUCGGCUUAACCGGAGAAGUGCAUCGGAAACUGAUAAACUUGAGUGCAAAAAAGGAUAGUGGAACUUCAUGUGUAGCGGUGAAAUGCGUAGAUAUAUGAAGGAACACCAGUGGCGAAGGCGGCUAUCUGGUCUGUAACUGACGCUGAGGCUCGAAAGCAUGGGUAGCAAACAGGAUUAGAUACCCUGGUAGUCCAUGCCGUAAACGAUGAAUGCUAGGUGUUGGGAGGUUUCCGCCUCUCAGUGCCGCAGCUAACGCAUUAAGCAUUCCGCCUGGGGAGUACGACCGCAAGGUUGAAACUCAAAGGAAUUGACGGGGACCCGCACAAGCGGUGGAGCAUGUGGUUUAAUUCGAUGCNACGCGAAGAGCCUUACUAGGACUUGACAUCUUCUGCCAAUCUAAGAGAUUAGACGU
rnacentral:rRNA from 1 species